rnacentral:rRNA from 1 species
UACAGAGGAGCCAAGCGUUGUCCGGAUUGACUGGGCGUAAAGCGCACGCAGGCGGUCGCGCGCGUGGGGUGUGAAAUCUGGCCGCUUAACGGCCAGGCGCCAUCCCAUACGGCGCAACUGGAGGGCUGCAGAGGUCGAUGGAAUUGCCGGUGUAGUGGUGAAAUGCGUAGAGAUCGGAAGGAACGCCCGCGGCGAAAGCGCGGUUCUGGACCCCGCCUGACGCUGAGACGCGAAAGCUAGGGGAGCGAACGGG